rnacentral:rRNA from 1 species
UUAUUGUUAUUUUUAAAUAAUUUGGUAUUGCAUAUCAUUAAUAAAAAAUUUUGUAUUAACAAAAAAUAAAAAUAAAAGGUUGAAUUUGUGGUUGUUUUAUUGUUACAUAAUAAAAAAAACAUAAUUUAGGGUUGAAAAGUCGACUUUUAUUAUAUUUGUGUUUAGUAAAUUUAUUAGAAAAUUAUAAAUUUGUAAAAUUGUUUUAUAAAUAUAUAAGUUAAAGUAUUAUAAAUUUUAAGUUUUAUAACUUUUUAUUAAAAAUAAGUAAAUUAAUAUGUUUUAAUAAUUUUAUUAAUAUUAUAAUAAAUUAAAUAUUAUUAUAUUAGUAUAUAAAAUUAAUAAUUUUUUUUUAUAUAAUAUAAACAGAAAAUUAAAAAUUUAAUCAAAUGUUUUUUAAAGACUUAGACUUUUAUUUAAAGUUUGCUUCUGCCCUGUGAUAGAUUUAACGGCAGUCUUAGCGUGAGGACAUUAAAGUAGCAAAAUAAUUAGUGCUUUUAUUGGGUUCCAGUAUGAAUGAAGUUAAUGGUUAAUUAUUUUUUGUUUUUAUUUAUGAAUUUUUUUAUGUAUAAAAAAAUAUAAUAAUAAUUGUACAAAGAUAAGUCUUUGGAAAUUUUUUUUUGUUAUACAUUAAAUUGGGCAACAAAGUUUUCUAGGGCAGAAUUUUAGAUAAAUUUUUAUUCUAUAAUAUAAUUUUAGAAAUUACUCCAGAGUUAACAGAAAAUCAUAUUAAAUCUAGUGCGUAUAGUAAAAUAAGUUUUACAUCGAUGUUGUAUUUAAGUUUAUUAAAAAAGGAGAAAAUUUAAUUAUUAAGACUGUUCUUCUUUUAUUUAACUUAACAUGAUAUUAGUUUAAUUCAUUGCGAGAUAGAAUUGUUUAUCUUGACAAUUAUUAUAAUUUUAAAAUAAUUAGUACGAAAGGAAAAUUGUAAAAGUUAAUAACUUUAUAAAAUUUGUAUUUUU